AGUGAACGCUGGCGGUAGGCCUAACACAUGCAAGUCGAACGGCAGCACAGUAAGAGCUUGCUCUUACGGGUGGCGAGUGGCGGACGGGUGAGGAAUACAUCGGAAUCUACUUUUUCGUGGGGGAUAACGUAGGGAAACUUACGCUAAUACCGCAUACGACCUACGGGUGAAAGCAGGGGAUCUUCGGACCUUGCGCGAUUGAAUGAGCUGAUGUCGGAUUAGCUAGUUGGCGGGGUAAAGGCCCACCAAGGCGACGAUCCGUAGCUGGUCUGAGAGGAUGAUCAGCCACACUGGAACUGAGACACGGUCCAGACUCCUACGGGAGGCAGCAGUGGGGAAUAUUGGACAAUGGGCGCAAGCCUGAUCCAGCCAUACCGCGUGGGUGAAGAAGGCCUUCGGGUUGUAAAGCCCUUUUGUUGGGAAAGAAAAGCAGCAGGUUAAUACCCCGCUGUUCUGACGGUACCCAAAGAACAAGCACCGGCUAACUUCGUG
rnacentral:rRNA from 1 species